rnacentral:snRNA from 1 species
AGAUGUGAGGGCGAUCUGGUUGCGACAUCUGUCACCCCAUUGAUCGCCAGGGUUGAUUCGGCUGAUCUGGCUGGCUAGGCGGGUGUCCCCCUCCUCCCUCACCGAUCCAUGUACGUCCCUCCCGAAGCUGCGCGCUCGGUCAAAGAGAUCACAACUUAUCAGACCAGAAACCUCCACAGACCAGGGCA